AGCGUACGCUGGCGGCAGGCCUAACACAUGCAAGUCGAACGAACUCUUCGGAGUUAGUGGCGGACGGGUGAGUAACACGUGGGAACGUGCCUUUAGGUUCGGAAUAACUCAGGGAAACUUGUGCUAAUACCGAAUGUGCCCUUCGGGGGAAAGAUUUAUCGCCUUUAGAGCGGCCCGCGUCUGAUUAGCUAGUUGGUGAGGUAAAGGCUCACCAAGGCGACGAUCAGUAGCUGGUCUGAGAGGAUGAUCAGCCACAUUGGGACUGAGACACGGCCCAAACUCCUACGGGAGGCAGCAGUGGGGAAUCUUGCGCAAUGGGCGAAAGCCUGACGCAGCCAUGCCGCGUGAAUGAUGAAGGUCUUAGGAUUGUAAAAUUCUUUCACCGGGGACGAUAAUGACGGUACCCGGAGAAGAAGCCCCGGCUAACUUCGUG
rnacentral:rRNA from 1 species